AGAGAGAGUAUCGGCUAUAACAAUUAGCGGCUCUUUGUGCCCUUUUGGGAGCAGCAAGGAGGAAGCAGAUCCAGGGAAAUGGCACUUGGAGCAGCCUGCAGUGCCCUUGGCAGUGCCGGGCAAUUAACACAAAUGAGCCAUCAGCAUUCCAGGGGGAAGGAGCUGGCCCUUGGGGGAGGACCAUGGAAUUUUUUUGGGAAGCCAAGACAGAAGGUCUGGAGCAGCUGGUGGGAGAUGGCCCCGAGUGUUUCCUAAAAACUGUGGCUGGUGUUUUCCUAAUUCAAGGAACCUCUGCCAAAAGUCAGUGCCUUUGCAAGUGCAGCAUUUCCCAACAAAACAUUCAGGGAUAUUUUUGGAGAGAAUUUUGUCAAAUUAUGGACACUUUGGGUUACUGUGGACAAAAAAAAAAAAAAAAAAAUCACUGCUCAGCUGACAGAUUUUCCUCAGUUUCUAAGUCCUAAAAGAAGAGAAAAGGGUGAUCAUCAGGAAGGGAUUUCUAGGGAAUGCCAAUCCUGCGGCAUCUCUGUGUCAUUGCCUGUGGAACUGUGACAUUUUGGAGCUACAAACUGGAGAGCAGGAGUGGAGGGUUGUAGGAUUGUCUGGCCAGUGUCCUGGCCAUCAGCAGCACAUCCCACCACGGGUCCUCUGCUGUGCUGAAAUGAUCAAACUCACCAUCUCCUUUCAGCUGAGAAAGAAAUGUGGCAUUAAAAAGAGACAGAGCAAAGACCCCCAGGGCUGGGAUGCUGCUGAUCAAAGCACACCCAGGGACGUGAACUCACCUCAAAGGCUCCAGCCACAGCUCUCAUUCAUCCGUGAAUAUAUUCCUCCUACUUCAUCCUCUGCUAGUUAUUAUUUCUGUCAUCCCUGUUUUCCCUAGGAAGUGGUCUUCAUUUGUUUCAAGGUGGUCCUUAUUCGGUGGUGGUCGUUUUUCAUGGUGGUCAUUAUUUCAUGGUCCUGCCCCAGUCAUUAUCAAUUGAUGGCAUCGUUCCAUGUUCUUCACAGAAGAAUUCCAGUCAGGAUCUCUGUCCUGCAAUUCCUGUUUGUGGCCAACACGACAGCAGUGAGGGGGAAAGUGUGAAGGCAGCUUUAGUUUGUUUGGUUUCAGUCCAGUCACUUCCCCAAGUUGCGUUCUCCAGCAUCCCAUGGAUGUUGUGGCACAGGUAAAAUAAUGACACCGCCUGAGUUUUGGGGGUGUUUCACCUCUAUGUUCAGAGAGGAUUUGCAGCCCAGGACACAGAUUCCCAAUCCAUGCUCCCAUGAAAAUUAGGGGUGUUUUAGGAGAAUCUUUCCCUGCUUGCCCUGGAGGCUGAAGAUUUUGUUUGUUUGUUUUUUGCUGCCUGUGUGUGGUUGUACUGAUCUUCCUGUCUCCUGGGUCGUGAGACAGUGGAAGCUGAUCAAAAACCACUUGGGGUCAUCCCAAUCUUCCAAAACGCCUCGUGCAGAGAAAAUACCUUUCCAAUAAUAUCUUCAGCACAACUCCUGGGUUUUUGCAUGAUGCAGAGGUGUCACCACGGGGCUCAGCAAUAAUCCUAAUAUGGAUUUAGAACCCCCAGAUGUCGGACAGGGAGGAAGAACCAGUUAUGUGCUGCCCCUUGUUUCCAGGAGUUAACUGAGGCCUGCGAAAGGAAAUAUUAUUGAUUAUCUUUCAGGGUAAAAAAUUAGCUGUGUUUGCCCAGAUAUGUUCAGCAUCAUUGUAUAUUGACUAAACGUAUGAAAGAUGGAUAAGAUACAACCGUGACAGGCACAUCCUGUCUGGAGCAAUGGCCUUCAUUAACUUGAUUAUUAAAGUGAACAUAUUAACACCGAGUCCUGCAGCCCCUCUGCCUCCCUGUGCGAGCAGCAGCGUUUCAAUCUUGUGUUCACUGGGCUCUAAUUCCAGUUUUCCAAUGACACAACCUUCGGGAUAACUUUUCCCAUGCUCUUCUGAGAGACGGGGAGACAGAGAAGGAAUGAGAACACCACCCCGAGCAAUGUGGGCUAAGCGUGAGGAAAAACCUGCUUCCUUCACGUUGAAAAUUAAGUUUAUUUUCACAAUUGGUUUGAAAAACGGGAAAAUCACUUCAUUUCCCAGAUAACCUGAUUCAUCUGCUAUUUGCAAGGUGCUGCUUGACAUCCAAAAAUGAGCAUUUAAGCAGCAAGGAUGUGGUCACUGAAAGAAAAGCAAGGAUGUGCUCACCCUUGGUUGGACUCGCUAUGCUGCUCUGAGGUUGCCUGGGCCAGCUCCAUUUAUUCCAGACUCCAUGAGGAAUUUGGCUAGUUGCUGUGAUGAAUUAAGGGGCCAAGAAGAUGGAGUGCUUUAAUCAUAAUUGCCUGUUCAAGAGCCAAACUUCAAGGCAAGGAUUUAAUAUCUUUAAGUGCAUGUGAUAAUAAUAAUAAUAAUAAUGGCAAAAGUUACACUGUAAGGAGUAAUUUCAGUUUCUAAAAUAAGUCUCUGGAAUAAUACUCUACCAAGUAAUUUGUGUAGCUACAUAAAUAUUCCCUGUGUUCCUUAAAGCACCUCCUUUUUUUCUUCUUCAAGUCUGCAAAUUACCCUUUUAUGAGAUGCUGUACAAACUAACUACUAUAUCUAUUCAGAGUAUGAUAAUAUCUCCUUGCCUUUGAAUGAAAUAUUUGGCCCUUGAGGAUAUGCCAGUAGCUCUCCUCACAAAAUACCUGGAAAUUGAAUAAGAUCUGCAGCUUUAUUAUGUACAUAUAAUACUGGAACCUGUGGGAUUAUGUGUAGUAACCUUAUUCACAGAACCAGGAGAUGUAUUUGCAGAAUAUAUUUUAGGCUGGGACAGCUCGGUAACGCAUUUAUAACAUCCUUUGCUCAUGUGGAUUGCUCUCAGAGAAAUGCCAAAGGUCUGAGCUCGGAGAAGGGACAAGGGUACCCAGUCCAAUCUGAGUAUUUAAAGUGCAACAUUUC